rnacentral:rRNA from 1 species
GAUGAACGCUGGCGGCGUGCCUAAUACAUGCAAGUCGAGCGAACAGACGAGGCGCUUGCUCCUUUCACGUUAGCCGCGGACGUGUGAAUAACACGUAGAUACCCUACCUAUCAGACUGGGAUCACUUCGGAACACCGGAGCUAAUACCGUAUAAUAUUUCGAUCCGCAUUGUUCGAUGGUGAAAGAUGGCUUUGCUGUAUCUUAUCGCUGGCACUGCGCCGUAUUAGCUAGUUGGUAAGGUAACAGCUUACCACGGGAACGAUACGUAACCGACCUGAGAGGGUGAUCGGCCACCUGGGAACGGAGCCAGGGCCAAGACUCCUACGGAAGGCAGCAGAAGGGAAUCUUCGGCAAGGGGCGAAAGCCGGACGGAGAAAGGCGGCGUGAGUGAGGAAGGUCUUGGGAUCGUAAAACCCGGUUAUUAGGGAAGAACAAACGUGGAAGGAACUGUGCACGUCUUGACGGUACCUAAUCAGAAAGCCACGGCUAACUACGUG